rnacentral:rRNA from 1 species
UGGGGAAUAUUGCACAAUGGGCGCAAGCCUGAUGCAGCCAUGCCGCGUGUGUGCAGAAGGCCUUCGGGUUGUAAAGCACUUUCAGCGGGGAGGAAGGCGGUGAGGUUAAUAACCUCACCGAUUGACGUUACCCGCAGAAGAAGCACCGGCUAACUCCGUGCCAGCAGCCGCGGUAAUACGGAGGGUGCAAGCGUUAAUCGGGAUUACUGGGCGUAAAGCGCACGCAGGCGGUCUGUCAAGUCGGAUGUGAAAUCCCCGGGCUCAACCUGGGAACUGCAUUCGAAACUGGCAGGCUAGAGGCUUGUAGAGGGGGGUAGAAUUCCAGGUGUAGCGGUGAAAUGCGUAGAGAUCUGGAGGAAUACCGGUGGCGAAGGCGGCCCCCUGGACGAAGACUGACGCUCAGGUGCGAAAGCGUGGGGAGCAAACAGG